AUUGAACGCUGGCGGCAGGCCUAACACAUGCAAGUCGAGCGGAUGAAGGGAGCUUGCUCCUGGCUUCAGCGGCGGACGGGUGAGUAAUGCCUAGGAAUCUGCCUGGUAGUGGGGGAUAACGUCCGGAAACGGGCGCUAAUACCGCAUACGUCCUGAGGGAGAAAGUGGGGGUUCUUCGGACCUCACGCUAUCAGAUGAGCCUAGGUCGGAUUAGCUAGUUGGUGGGGUAAAGGCCUACCAAGGCGACGAUCCGUAACUGGUCUGAGAGGAUGAUCAGUCACACUGGAACGGAGACACGGUCCAGACUCCUACGGGAGGAAGCAGUGGGGAAUUUUGGAAAAUGGGCGAAAGCCUGAUCCAGCCAUGCCGCGUGUGUGAAGAAGGUCUUCGGAUUGUAAAGCACUUUAAGUUGGGAGGAAGGGCAGUAAGUUAAUACCUUGCUGUUUUGACGUUACCAACAGAAUAAGCACCGGCUAACUUCGUG
rnacentral:rRNA from 1 species